rnacentral:rRNA from 1 species
GACGAACGCUGGCGGCGUGCUUAACACAUGCAAGUCGAACGGAAAGGCCCUGCUUUUGUGGGGUGCUCGAGUGGCGAACGGGUGAGUAACACGUGAGUAACCUGCCCUUGACUUUGGGAUAACUUCAGGAAACUGGGGCUAAUACCGGAUAGGAGCUCCUGCUGCAUGGUGGGGGUUGGAAAGUUUCGGCGGUUGGGGAUGGACUCGCGGCUUAUCAGCUUGUUGGUGGGGUAGUGGCUUACCAAGGCUUUGACGGGUAGCCGGCCUGAGAGGGUGACCGGCUACAUUGGGACGUAGGUACGGCCCAAACUCCUACGGGAUGCAGCAGUGGGGAAUAUUGCACAAUGGGCGGAAGCCUGAUGCAGCAACGCCGCGUGCGGGAUGACGGCCUUCAGGUUGUAAACCGCUUUCGCCUGUGACGAAGCGUGAGUGACGGUAAUGGGUAAAGAAGCACCGGCUAACUACGUG